UACGGAGGGUGCAAGCGUUAUCCGGAUUCACUGGGUUAAAGGGCGCGUAGGCGGGAUGGCAAGUCGGUCGUGAAAUCCCUCGGCUCAACUGAGGAUCGUCGAUCGAUACUGCCGUUCUUGAGGAUUGCAGAGGAAACUGGAAUUUACGGUGUAGCAGUGAAAUGCGUAGAUAUCGUAAGGAAGACCAGUGGCGAAGGCGAGUUUCUGGACAGUUACUGACGCUGAGGCACGAAGGCCAGGGGAGCAAACGGG
rnacentral:rRNA from 1 species